rnacentral:rRNA from 1 species
AUGACGCCCGCGACUCCCACCGCCGCCGCGCCCAUCCGCCAGCACCUCCCCUCCUCCUCCUCGGCGCGCUCCGGCAACCCGCGCCCCAGCGGCCGCCUCCGCCUGCGCCUGCCCGCUCGCCCCCGCGCCGCCCCCUCGGCCUCCAUGUCCGCCGAGGCGCGGGCGGCCCCGUCGCCCGUGCCGCCUCCAGCGCACCCCACCUACGACCUCAGCGCCGUCAUCGCCCUCGCCCUCUCCGAGGACGCCGGCGACCGAGGGGAUGUGUCAUGCUUGGCUACGAUACCAACCGAUGUGAAAGCUGAAGCCACUUUUAUUGCUAAGGAGGACGGUGUCAUUGCAGGCAUAAGCCUGGCUGAGAUGAUAUUUAACCAGGUUGAUCCGUCGUUGAAGGUUGAAUGGUUUGAAGCUGAUGGAAAUUAUGUUCAUAAGGGAUUGCAGUUUGGCAAAGUAUAUGGGUGUGCUCAGAGUAUUAUUGUUGCUGAGAGGGUUGUGCUAAAUUUCAUGCAAAGAAUGAGUGGAAUCGCUACAAUGACGAAGGCCAUGGCUGAUGCUGCUCGUCCAGCAUGCAUACUGGAAACAAGAAAAACUGCUCCAGGUUUACGUCUGGUUGACAAGUGGGCAGUAGUAAUUGGUGGUGGGAAGAAUCACAGGCUUGGAUUAUUUGAUAUGGUUAUGAUAAAAGAUAAUCAUAUUUCUGUUGCCGGGGGCAUUACAAAUGCAAUGACAUCUGUUGAUCAGUUCUUGGAGAAGGAAAAUCUUGCAGUUCCUGUUGAGGUUGAGACGAGGACACUCGAGGAAGUUAGAGAUUUAUUGAAGUAUACCGAUGAGAACAAGACUUCAUUAACUCGUAUAAUGUUGGAUAAUAUGGUUGUACCUCUUCCUAAUGGGGACCUAGAUGUGUCAAUGCUCAAAGAUGCAGUUCAGUUGAUAAAUGGAAGAUUUGAGACUGAGGCGUCUGGAAAUGUGACGAUCGAUACGGUGAAGAAAAUUGGAGAAACUGGAGUUACAUACAUUUCAAGUGGAGCGUUGACGCAUUCCGUGAAGGCGCUCGACAUAUCUCUCAAGAUAGACACCGAGCUGGCUCUUCAAGUUGGAAGGCGCACAAAGCGCGCCUGA